CUACUUUUAAGAUACAAUUCCCUUUAUAUACAUUGACCACCACAAAGAUGGCUUUAUUAUUUUUGUUUUAAACAUCAAAUAUGAUACAGGAAACUCAUGAAAAGAAGGAUAGUCUAUUAUACUUGCCCAUUUUGCCUAUUACCUAUUUUUACCUAUUCUCAUGUUCUAUUUUUCCUUUCUGGAAUUCCAAGCCUUCUUCUGUUAUCAUUUCCUUUAUGUAUAGAGAACAUUCUUUAGCCAUGCUUUAUGGCUGGAUUUUCUUGUUUUUCUUCAUCUGAAAAUGUCUUUAUUUUUCCUUUGUUGCUGAACCAUAUUUUCACCAGAUAUAGAAAAGAAGGUUGACAGUUCUUUUCUUCCAGGGCUUGAAAAAUAUUGUUGUGUCCUUUGUGGUUUUAGAUGAGGAAUCCCUUGUAAUGUGUCAUUUUUUUUUCUGGGUACUUUCAAGACUUUUUUUCGUUUUUAGUUUUCAGAAGUUUAAUUAUGGUAUGUCUUAGUGUAGUUUCUUUGGGUUUAUUCUAUUUGGGGUUCACCCUCCUGAAUGUGUAAGUUUAUGUCUGUCUCCAAAUUUGGCAAGUUUUCAGUCAUUAUGUCUUUGAAAACUUUCCAGCCUCACUCUCUCCUUUCCUUCUGGGACUUAAAUGAUCCAACUAUUAGCUUUAAAAAAUAUAUAUUUUACAGAUUCCUGAGACUCUGUUAAUUUUUUACCCUAUUCCAUUUUUCUUCAUAUUGUUCAGAAUAGGUAAAUCAUUUUGACCUGUCCUCAAGUUCAAUGAUUGUAUCCUGACAUCUCCACUCUACAAUAGAACAUAUCCAGGGAAUUUUUAAUUUCUGCUAUUGAAGUUAUUUCUAUUCUGUGUAAUUUCUAUUAUGUUGCUGAUAUUUUCUGUAUUUUUCAUUUGUUUCAAGAGAAUUAAUAAUUGCUAGUUGAAACAUUUUUAUGAUGGCUUCUUUAAAAUUCUUGUCAGAUAAUUCCUUCUGAUUAAUCUUAGUGUUGGCAUCUGUUGACUGUGUUUUGUCAUUCAAGUUGUGAUUUUUCUUAUUCUUGGUGUGAUCCAAGAUUGAUUUCUUUCUUAUUUAUUUAUUUAUUUAUUUAUUUAUUUAUUUAUUGGUGUCAUGGAACUUGAAGUAUUAUAUUAUGAAGCUCCUAUUUAAUCUUUCUUAUUUAACAGGUAGUCUCUUGUUGAGGUGUAGCUUGAGGGCUGGGUAAGUGCCUGUGUUGAGCUUCAUGCUGGGUCGCACUGACACCACCCACCAAAGUGGAACACUUGUUCACACUGCUUUGUUGCAGACAAAUGGGAUGGUACUUCAGUCACCCCUCAUCCCACUAACACCUUCCAAGAGAAGGUGGGGCAUGGCAUUUUUGUUUUUGAGUCAAGGUGUAAGCUUAGCUCCCUGGGCCCCGUUAACAACAAAGAAGAGAAUGGAGGGUUGAGUGGGAAAGGACUCCUUCUGAUACCUCUUACCACCUCAUUGGUGCUGAUUGUGGGGUAGAGGCUUAGCUUCUCAGGGAACCAACUGAUAGAGGGAGAAAUGGGGAGCUAGAUAGUGGACCAGCCUUGCUUUGCACUAUCUUAUUCUGUCUCAAUUAUGCCAGCUGGUUUAGUUUAUUGCUCAGCCCCACCAACACCUGGGAGGGGAAUCAGAAUGUCUCAUUCAUUCACUUAUUCAAGUAGAGUUUAUCAAACACAUAGUAUGUCUUCCAGACAUUAAAGAAGAUUCAUAAGGUCAGUGAGGAACCAAGAAAAGGUUGGUUCUCUUCCUUUGUGGACCUUGCAGUCUAGUGAGGGAGAUCGACAUUAAAUAAAUAAAUUUCUAAAUAAAUAUUUAAAUCAGGAAAAGUGCCAAAAAGGACUUACAAAGGAAAAAGUAGAGAUGUCUUAAUACAGAAAGUGAAUUUUAUUUUUAUUUAUUUAUUUUAUUUAACUUCAAGUUAGUUAACAUACAGUGUAGUCUUGGUUCCAUGUCUUACAUAUAACACCCAGUACUCUUCCCUAAAAGUGCCCUCCUUUAUGCCUAUCACACAUUUAACCCAUCCCUCCCACCUCCCCUCCAGCAACCUUCCCGAUGUUUAUAACAACAUUAUCAAAAAUGGCCAAAUUAUGGAAAGAAACCAAAUGUCCAUCGGCUGAUGAAUGGAUAAAGAAGAUGUGGUAUAUAUAUAUGCAAUGGAAAACUACCCAGUGAUCACAAAGAAUGAAAUCUUGCCAUUUGCAACAAUGUGGAUGAAACUAGAGUGUAUUAUGCUAAGCAAUAUAAGUCAGUCAGAGAAAGACAAAUAUCAGAAAGUGAAUUUUAAUUAAACCUUGAAUGAAUGGGAGUUCACUUGCUGAAGGAAGUUCCAGGGAGAAGGAAAGAAUAGCUGGUGCAAAGGUCACAAAUUGAGAAGGACCUGGCACCAAGGUAGCACUGUCAGAGAAAACUUUAAUAAAAGGAGCAUGCACAAUUUUAAAUUGUCUAGUAGCCACAAUAAAAAAAAAAGGGAGGGAGGGAACAAAUGAAGUUAAUUGAAGUUAAUUUUAAAAGAUACAUUUUAUUUAACCUCAGCUGUCCCCCAAUGUUAUCAUUUCAACAUGUGAUGAGCCUAAAAGAUUAAUGAAAUAUUUUAUAUUCUUGUUUUCAUACCAAGUCUUUGAAAUCUGGCAUGUCUUAUGCACUGUAGCACGUCGAAAUUUGGACUAGCCAUGUUGCAAGUGCUCAAGAGUCAUAUGUCCCUAGUGGCUAUUGGAUUGGACAGCAGAGUUCUAGGGUAUGAUAGAUCUCAGCUGAGUGAUGGAUGUGGAAAGUUUAAGCUCAAAUCAGGGGUACAGUCAUAAUUUCUGUUUUCUUUCUUUCUUUCUUUCUUUCUUUCUUUCUUUCUUUCGAGAGAAGAGCGGGUGCAAGUGAGCAAGGGGCAGAGAGAGAGAGAGAGAGAGAGAGAGAAUCCCAGGAGGGGCAGAGAGGGAGACAGAGAGAGAGAGAAAAGUGGGGCUUACCUGAAGUGGGUCUCAUCCUCACCCGAAGCGGGGCUUGAGCUCACCCAAUGUGGGACUCGAACUCAUGAACCAUGAGAUCAUGACCUGAGCCAAACUCAGAUGCUUAAUGACUGAGCUACUCAAGUGCCCUAGAAUCAUAAUUUCUAUGUCACUGAGGUGGUUGGACUUGGAGAGACUGGACAUGGGGAGAUUUAGGCUAGGCAGUUGCAAUAGGCCAGGUGAGAGGAGACUAAGCAGUGAAGAUGACAACAAGAGAAUAGUUUGGAGGAAUAUUUCAAAGGGAGAAUUACCUGAACCCACAAGAUUCGGAAACUGAUUUUCUGUGGUGAUGGCUACAGUUCUGGUAUGAGCAUAUUUUCAAUCAGUGCUGUGAGCACUAGAGCAAGAGCAGGUGAGGGUAAGAGAGAUGUUUGUUUUAGACAAAUUGAGACUGAGGUGCCCAUAGGUGAACUAAGACCUUGGACAGAAAGAGAUAAUUAGUGCUUCUCCCACAGGUCUGCACAGACAUGGCUGAGAGGUGGCUCUGUCACUGGGCCACUUCUCUACAUGUCCUUGGUUUAGUACCAAUUACCCGGGAGGCAUGGAAUAAAAGAAUUGACUCCUGAAAUGCCACCUUCAUGAAACAAUAGCAACAACAAUAAAUCGACCACAUGAUGACAUGGACCGAGAUGGGAAUCUAUUUCCUUUUUUAACGUCUUUAAGUGCAAGAUGCUCAGGUAACUGACAGUAGUUGUUUCGAGCAACAGAGAGGACUAGUUCAUUUCUCAAAGCUUUUCCCAACCCAUGAGUCACAGAGCUGCUGAGAAAGAAGAGGUUGUGUGCCUGUCCCUGUGUGGGGUGCUUCUCCUGAUGUCCAGCUGUGCCAGUGUUUCCAGCACUGCCUGCUGCUUUGCUCUUGACUCUGCCUCCUCUUAGUUACAGUUCAUAAGCUGGGCUGGUUGGCCAUAGAUAUAGGAAAAAACAAACAAAAAACAUGCAGCCUUGGCUUUUUAGGAGUAAAGGUAGCAUUAGAAAAAUAAAUGUGGGAUUUAUUUUCUCAAUGUUUACUUAUUUAUUUUGAGAUGUGGGGAAGGGGCAGAGAGAAAGAGAGAAAGAAUCUCAAAGAGGCUCCACACUCAGUGCAGAGUCCAACGCAGGGCUUGAUCUCAGGAACUGUGAGAUCAUGACCUGAGCCGAAUCAAGAGCCAGAUGCUUAACCGAUUGAGCUGCCCAGGUGCCCCUAGAUGUGAGAUUCUAAGUGCAGAACUUCCAUUGCAAUCUGGGAGCUCACUGAACAUGGUAUACACCCUCUAUUAGUGCUUCACAUGGGAGAAGAGCCAGGAAAUAGUAAUAGAGUACAUUUAAGAAGCAUUUACUAGUAUCACACCCUACCCUAGGGGCUUACAAACACUGUCCCAUUUAAUUCUCACAAUACUGUAACAUAAUUACCAUUUUCUGCUUUUUAAUGAUAAAGAAAUUGAAGUUUAAAAUGCUGGGUACCUUGUCAUAGGUUGUGGAUCCAGAAAGUGUCAGAAACUCAGAGCUGAACCUAGUCCUAACUGAUUGCAAAGCUCUCACUCUAUGCUGCACUCUUCAUGUUUGGGGAGGGCUUGCCAUCUAAGGGCAAGCAUCACAGCUUGCAGAUCUCUUGUGUAACCACUGCCCGAGGGGACACGGUACCAUAUCGAUGUGAGGAUCUGAUAUGGUGAUGUGAGCAAAGGCAGUUAGAAAAUCUGUAGGUUCUAAGGUCUGACUCCCAGAAUGAAGAGUUUUGGGGGAAAAAGUGAAGGUGUGGAAGGGGGUUGGAUGUUGGAUAAAGGCUUGUGCCCUGCGUAGGCAGGUAGCUCUGUUGGUGAAAUAUGACAUUCCUGGAGACUGAAGUAUAUUGGCUGAAGGAUGCUUUUUGGAAGAACACUAUAUGGUAUCCACUGAAAUAUCCUUCCACUGAUCUUCAGGGGGAAAAAUAUCCCCCUCAAUUCCUUUAGGAGAGGGAAAUAGAGCAGAACUGGAUGCUGUAAGAAAACUGAAAGAGUGGGACACCUGAUUUGGAAGCCUAGUUAAAAAAUUGCAACCAGUUCCAAGGGGAGAACUCUAAAGGAUUAUCUAUAGCUAUGUGACCUUGGUAACCUGCUUAACCAACCUAAAGCCUAAUUUCUCUACUUGUGAAAUGGGGAGAGUAAUCAUGACAUUGUGUAGUGGUUGUUGGGAUUAAAUGAGAAUAUACAUGAACCACUUGGUACAAUAAACCUAAUUCUCCUUUCUCUUGCCUUUCUUGCCUUUCUCUGUCUUUCCCCUCCUUUGGUAAACAGCACUUUUGUAUACUAGUGCCAGAACUCCUACAGUCACCACUAUUUGAAAUUUUUAGCUUUGAAUACACAAGCUUUAUUCGGUUGGAAACUUGUUGAUUUAGUAUGAGGCAUCCCUGGUUUAUAAUCAGAAUAAUUCAUGAUAACCCAUCUUAGUUACAGUGUUUCAGGCCAGAAGUCUUGGGGUUAUCAUGACACACCUCUUCUUGAACCCCACAUCCAAAAUGAACCAAUCUUGUAGGUUUUAUCUAUUCAGAAAUCUGGUUACAGAAUCACCUCUACAGCUAACACCCUGGUGAUAGGCACCAUCACCUUUUACUUGGCAUUGAAUAGAAGAUUCCAAAUUGCUCUCUUCUUUUCUGCCUUGUUCUCCUUUAGUCCAUCCAUUCUCAACACAGCAGCCAGAGGUGCCUUUUUACCCUUCACAUAGAAUUCAUAUCAUGGUUUCUGCCCCACACACUCCCAAUAACUUGCCAUUUCACUCAGAGUAAACGUCAGAGUCCUUACAAUGGUCCACAAGGCCUUAUAUAGGCUGGCUUCCUUCUUACUUCUCAUCUUUCACCCUUUUCUACUGCUGUCCUCACUCCCAUUCAGUUCCAGCUACAUUGGUCUUGUAUUUCCAGGACCGUGACCAGGCACCCUCCUAUCUUAGGGCAUUUGUACUUUCCUCUACCUGGGAAGCCCUGCAUGAUGGGUUGGUUUCUUUUUUAUGCCUGGGCUGGAAAGAUGCCUUCUCAGUGAGGCUGCCGCUGACCACACUGUUACAAUUCCUCUCCUCUCCAUUCUUCUUUUUGAAAGUGUUUGUUACUUUCUACCACUCUACUACAUUAUGUUGAAUUCUGAAUGUUAUCACUUAAGGCUUAUAUCACUGUUUCAUGGCCUGCCACAAAGAAAAAAGAUCACCAAUUAAAAUAUUAUUUACCAUCAAUUUAAAAAUGCAUCCCAAUUUACAUACAUCAAAAUAUGGGAAAGGUAUAUGUUAAAAACUAAUGAAACAUAAUACCCAAUUUUCUCAUUUAACUUUGUUUAAUGCCUAUUUUGUUACUAUUUUGUAAACUCCAUGAGAGCAAGGAUUUCACUGUUUAUUCACUGUCUAAAACAGGGCUUGGCACCUAGCAGGUCCUCAAUGUAUAGCUAUUGAAUGAAUAUAAGACAUGACUCCCACCAAAACGUAAGUACAGUGAUAAGACAUGGACAUUUAGAAAUAGGCAUUGCAGGGUGCCUGGGUGACUCAGUCGGUUAAGUGCCUGGCUUCAUCUCAGGUCAUGAUCUCACAGUUCGUGAGUUCCAGUCCUGAUGAGGGCUGUCUGCUGUCAGCACGGAACUCGCUUUGGAUCCUCUGCCCCCCUCUCUUUCUGUCCCUCCCCUGCUUGAGCUCUCUCUCUCCCUCAAAAAGAAAUAAACAUAAAAAAAAUAGGCAUUCCAUGAUGAAGGUCAGUUCAGUAGCUUGCUUGUGCUUUGUGAACACCUCUAAGCAAGAGAGCAGAAUAUUCUUGCUAAAGCUUUUAUUUUAAUUACAAACAUAUUGUGUAGCUUAACCUGAUACGUGUUAAUAAAUAGCAUCAAGACCCACCUCCGUUCUUCCCAUCACAGGACCAAAGGAUAUUUAAAAAAGAAAAGGAGAGAGGAUUUAGGAGUAGAUUAAGGAUUCAUUUUCCCUCCACUAUACCACACAAACCUUUUUUUUUUUUUUUUUUUUUUUUACUCAUGUGCCCACACUUGACCUCUUGUUUCCCUCUUUCACCCCGGACUUCUGUAGCAGCUCCAUGACAAGGGCAUCUAAUCAUUUCUAGCAUGCGACAACAUUUGGUUCAGAUUCCCUUAUCAGCAUUACCUUUUCUUCUCUCCUUUUUGCCCCACCUCCACCUUAAAGGGAACCUGGAAUGGACCUCAGGGAUCAUUGACAUGUCCACCACUCUUCUUCAGACACUUCAUGCAGAAAAUCUUUCAGAGAUGUGAUUGUGGGAAAGUAGACCUGGAAAAUAACUGUCAUCAAGACCUUUACAUCUCUUAAAGGAAUUUACUCCAGUGACAUUGCCCGGCCCUAAAUUUAUUGUUCAAAAAUUAAGAAUCUACAUAUACAACUGUGGGUUUUAGUACACAUUUACAGGAAACUCAUCUAAACUCCACUUAUUUCCCUUAUAAAUCAGUUCACUUAAACAACUUGAGAACUCCAAUUUGUAUUGGAGUAAAAGGCAGUUUCAGUUAGAUUUUUGAAAAGUUGUUUUUUUUUUUUUUUGCCUUUGAAAAUGUGUGGAUAGCAUUAUGGUAGUUUUUAAAUAUGUUGCAUAUAUUUGACGUUUUUUCAUUAUAUAAAUGCAUAUUCAGUGAUAUGAGUGUUAACGUUCACAGCUCCAACUAAAUGAAACAUUAACUAUGGCUUUUAAUUAACACUUAGAAACUUCAAGCUUCAGAAAAUGUUGCCUUUUAAAAUCAGAAUUACUUCCAGAUUUCUAUAGUAGUCUGACUACAAAAAUACUUUUAAAUAUACCAAAUUAUUGUGGUGGGAGCAAAAUCUGAAAUUUCUCUUUUUGUUGACCUUUGAAGACUUUAGGAUUCACUUGAGAAAGUAUCACUUCUUUGAAAGUCGAGCUAUUUUCUAAAGCUCUGUGUAAAUCAAUGUUUGCUGAUUCACUGUGAUCCAGGGUACUUAAUCAGAAGCGUUAGGAAAAUUCUUCACAUGAAAAUGUAAAUUUUUCCUGCCCCAACCCAACUUUGUAAAUAAGGUGGCAAAAGAAAACACAAUGAAUAUAUAAGCAAUGUGUUCAGUUCACACAAUUCUCAGAGAAAUUUAGAAAAUCGAAUCCUCUAUUUUUUAUGAAGUUAUACAAUGAGAUACAUGUAGUUCUUAAUAUUAAUUGUGUAAUUUGCUUGAAUGUUAUAUUUCCUUUAAUUUGUUUUCUGGAAUAUAACAAGAUGACAACAGACAGGUGGAAGAAAUAUGAAGCAAUUUGAAACACAAAAAAUUUGAGGUCAUUCAAACAAGUAUUGUAUUUUGGCAAAAUUUUUAAAUUUGAAGUUUUCUUCAUUUAUUAUAAUGGUGUCUCCUCUGAAAAUUGUUUUAAUUUUUUAAAAAAUGUUUAUUUAUUUAUUUCUGAGAGAUUGAGAGAGAGAGGGAGACACAGAACCCAAAGCAGGUUCCAGGCUCUGAGCUGUCAGCACAGAGGCCAACCCAGGGCCUGAACUCACAAACCAUGAGAUCAUGACCUGAGCUGAAGUCAGACACUUAACUGACUGAGCCACCCAGGCACCCUUGUUUUAAUUUUAUUUUUUAAACCACUCUAUUGUAGUAUGAUUGACAUAACAUUAAUUUAAUUAAAAAAUUUUUUUUACAUUUAUUUAUUUUUGAGAGACAGAAAGAGACAGCAGGAGCAGAGGAGGGGCAGAGAGAAAGGGAGACAGAGAAUCAGAAGCAGGCUCCAGGCUCCAGGCUCUGAGCUGUCAGCACAGAUCCUGACGUGGGACUUGAACCCACAAACUGUGAGAUCAUGACCUGAGCCAAACUUGGACGCUAAACCAACUGAGCCACCCAGGCGCCCCUAACAUUAAUUUAAUUUUAAAUCUACCUCCAACCUUAAAUGUUUUUACAUAUUGUUUCAACUGCUGCUAAAUAUUUUCUAAUCAUAUUAAAUUUUUUUAUAAAGAUAAAACAAAAACCAAAUUCUAAAAUUAAGAUGCAUGUAACAUCCUCUAAAAUAAUAUCAAAUAUAAAUUUAAAAGAGAAAGGCCCUGUGAGUGAAAUAAAUGUGAAUCUUGAUGACAUUUUAAUCUCAAAAUGUUUCUCUUGAGCAAAGACUUAUAGAUACAGUUUUUUGAAAGUUUUAAGUUACCACAAUCAUCUUCUUUUGAUGUUAGAAUUAAGUAGCAUUAUUUACUACACAACAUCUAUUUCUUUUGUAAGUGUAUUUUCUAAAUUUUGGCAUGUUAGAAAUCAUAAGAAUGUUUUAUUUAUGUAUUAGACACAUUUACUGAGUGAAGUUUAUUUUGGGCAAUAAUAUAAUAAUUUAAUUUUAGAAGACAUGGGAUUAUAUGGUUUUUGAAGGAAGAUAUUUUCAAAUUUAAAUGUUAAAUAUUGAUGCUGUAAAGCCUGAAUAUAAUUACCAAUACAUAAGUUAAUGAAAGUGUGUUGUAAGAAUCCCCCUCCAAAAGAGUACUCUGUACAGUUACUAUUAUUUUCACCAAAAUGGUAAAAAGACACUUUGACUAUUUGAUUAUAAUUAUUAGACUAUCAUGUAUCAGAUUAUAAUUGGUGCACACACUUUAUCUUUUCAGUUUCUUAACUACAUAUUUUGGUAGCCCUUUGCCCUCCAUAAUUUUUAUAACAUUUCUAUUGAUUGAUUAGAAAAAGUCUAAAAGUUCUAACAAUACCAUACUUCAAGAUUUUGAUGAUAUUAAUAGUUGGAACAAAAUGGAACACAUGGAAAUAAAGUGCAAUUUAAAAUUAAUUACCUUUCUUUUAUUUUUUUAAAUAAAUUUUUUAUUUAAAAAAUUUUUUUUAAUGUUUAUAUUUAUUUUUGAGACAGAGCAUGAGCAGGGGAGGGGCAGAGAGAGAGAGGGAGACACAGAAUCUGAAGCAGGUUCCAGGCUCUGAGCUGUCAGCACAGAGCCGGGUGCAGGGCUCGAACCCACAAGCUGUGUGAUCAUGACCUGAGCUGAAGUCAGCCGCUUAACCCACUGAGCCACCCAGGCCCCUUAAUUGCCUUCUUUUAACAUGGUUUUAUAGUCUAUUAUAAACCUAAUAGCUAUGUAGCUUACUAAAACAUAUCACUGAUAAGAACUCUAAUGUUUCUAAGUUAAGUGUAUUGUAGCACAUUUAAAAAUGCAAUUGUCCAAAAAAAAUUCAGCUGUGAACUACAGUUACAUUUUCGUGAUGUAUUUAUAUCAUUAAAAACUCUUCAAGUAAUCUUUACUAUUUUGUUAGUGAUAUUUUUGUUGGUUUGAUGUCUUUGUCUUUCUGUAAACUAACAAGGCCUUUCUAGUCAAUACAGCACUAAUCCAAUCUUUUGAAUUAACAGCUUGGGGUGCCUGGGUGGCUCAGUCAGUUCAGCGUUUGACUCGUGAUUUUAGCUCAGGUCCUGAUCUCACAGUUUGUGAAAUCGAACCCCUCCAUUGAGCCAAGAACAGAGCCUGCUUGAGAUUCUCUCUCUCUCCCUUUCUCCCCCUCAUCCUGCUUGUGCUCUCUCACUCUCAAGAUAAAGAAAUAAACAUUAAAAAAAUAAACAGCUAUAUUGAGAUAUAAUUCACAUACCAUAUAAUUCAUUUGUUUAAAGUGCACAAUUCAGUGGUUUUUAGCAUAUCCACAGAACUGGGCAACCAUCGCCGCAAUUAGUUUUUUAAGACAUUCUCAUCACUCCAAAAAGGAACCCUGUACCCAUUAACCACUUCCUAUUUCCCCCUAGUCUUCCCAGCCCUAAGCAACCAUGAAUUUACUUUCUGUUUCUAUGAAUUUGCCUAUUUGGAACACUUCAUAUAAAUGGAAUCACAUAUGUGGCUUUUGUGACUGGCUUCUUUCACCUGACAUAUUUUCAAGAUUCAUUCAUACUAUUGCAUUUAUCAGUACUUUAUUUUUUCCACUGCUGAAUAAUUAUUGUUAGCUAUAUCGCAUUUUGUUUAACCAUUCAUCAUUUGAUGAACAUUUGUGUUAUUUCCACUUUUUGGCUAUUAUUAAUACUGCUGCUACGAACAUCUGUGUACAAGCUUUUAUGUGGACAUAUGUUUGCAUUUCCUGGGGUAUGUUCCCAAGAGUGGAAUUGCUGGCUCAUAUGGUAGCUUUGAUGCUAAUUCUAAUGCUAACUCUUAAAAUUUUGAGGACUUUCUAGUCUGUUUUCCAAAGUGACUGCUCCAUUUUACAUUCCCACCGAUGGUGAAUGAGGAUUCCAAAUUUCCUCUACUGCCUCACCAAGAUUGAUUAUUGUCUGUCUUUUUGAUUACAGUCAUCCCAGUAUAUAUGGUGUUACCUCAUGGUGGUUUUGAUUUACAUUUCCCUGAUGGUAACUUAUCCGAUUUUAGUCUAAACCAGAAAGGCAUGUGUUUCAACAAACUAAACAUAUAUUUUCUAGAAUUUUAAACAUUUUUUAUCAGAAAAAUAUAUGCAUUAAAUAUGUUCUUAUAUGGGCUAUUUGGGCUAUAUGUUCUACUUAAUUUUCAAAAUGUGAAGAUUGGGUUGGUGGACUAGGAGACUGUCAGGCUAAAUUCUCCUUUCUCUUUCUUUGUGGACAUUUUAAUCUAUCCUUCUCAUAUAGUGGCCUACUCAAUCCUAGAACACAAAAUUGUUGGACUCUUAGUAGGAGUAACAACUACCAUUUGGUUCAGUGUAAGUUUUUGCCUGUAUUGAUUCCUUUCAUUACCACAACACUGGAGCAGGUAUUAUUAUUCUCAUUUGGAGUUAAUAGAGUGAUGUAAUUUGGCCAAGGCCACACAUCUUGUAAGAGGUGGAGUAGACAUCCAAACCAAGGUCUGUCUGACUCCAAAACCUGUGUUCAUCAUCACUGCUCAUUCUUGACCCUUAAAUAUUGUUGCUUAAUUGGAAAUGUCAUUUUGUAUGGGGCUUGAAAUAUUCUUUUGAAGUCCUAUAUGAUUAUUGCUCAAGGGAGUCUUCAAAUAAUAUCCCACAGUGUGGUGUUUCCUACUUGAAAUAGUUAAUUGAUAACUUGUUGUAUAUACUCUGGACUAAAAAAAUAAUUACUAUUUAUUGAGCUCUUACCAUGUGCUAGAUACUGUACUAUGUCUUUAAUACUUAUCAUCUCAUUUAACAAGCUCUUAAAUAGUCAUGAAGUGAUUUACAGUCUAGUUGAAGGAAUGAGACAUAUAUUUGCAUAUAAAAAAUUAAAUUUAAAAAGAGGCAAAUAAUAAUACAUGACACCAUUAAACAGCAUGUGAUUAAUGUCCAUAUAAACAAGUGAAUCAUAUAAACAACAUAUACAAUGUUUGGAGACGGGGUAUGAACUCUGUGGACUGGCCUAAGCUACUGUGGACACAUUAAAUGUGACUGUCUUACUGCAUUAAAUGGCAAAGUUUUCUUCAUUUACUAAACUAUCGAACAUGAGAUUUAAAGACACCCUUAAGAAGUCAUUGCCUAGUGUGUUCAUAGGCAGAACAUCUCCUUUAUCACCUUAUAUGGUAAUAGCUUAUUACUCAUAUAAUCCUUAAUGGAUAGUAUACACAGCACUUUCAAUUACAUUGUUCUUUACAUCACUCCAUUUAAUUUUUGCACAUCCAGAUGCAAAAAGAAGACCUAGGAAUAUUAUCUAUGUUUUCCAGAUGAGAAUGUGCAUCUCUGGGAAUUCAAUGAUUUGCUUCUAGUCACAAGGAUCAAAUAUGAGUUCUGAAUCGAAGACAAACACUGAAACUGGCCACCAAAAAUGUUUUCCUUCAAAGCGUGUCCAAAACAGCAGCUCAAUUUUGGCACAUUUCUGGAUCCCAUAGGCAGGACCUCCGAGCUUUCCUGAUCCAGGUAAUGAUGUUAUAUAAUGGAAAGAGAUUGAAGUUUAUACUGGAUCUGGAUUUCAGUUCUAU